AGUAACGCGUGGGAACGUACCUUUUGGUUCGGAACAGCUCAGGGAAACUUGAAUUAAUACCGGAUAAGCCCUUACGGGGAAAGAUUUAUCGCCGAAAGAUCGGCCCGCGUCUGAUUAGCUAGUUGGUGAGGUAACGGCUCACCAAGGCGACGAUCAGUAGCUGGUCUGAGAGGAUGAUCAGCCACAUUGGGACUGAGACACGGCCCAA
rnacentral:rRNA from 1 species